rnacentral:rRNA from 1 species
UACGGGGGGGGGCAAGCGUUGUUCGGAAUUACUGGGCGUAAAGGGCUCGUAGGCGGCCAACUAAGUCAGACGUGAAAUCCCCAGGCUCAACCUGGGAACUGCGUCUGAUACUGGUUGGCUUGAAUCCGGGAGAGGGAUGCAGAAUUCCAGGUGUAGCGGUGAAAUGCGUAGAUAUCUGGAGGAAUACCGGUGGCGAAGGCGGCAUCCUGGACCGGCACUGACGCUGAGGAGCGAAAGCUAGGGGAGCAAACGGG